AGGGUUCGAUUCUGGCUCAGAACGUACGCUGGCGGCACGCCUUAUACAUGCAAGUCGAACGAAGUAGCAAUACUUAGUGGCAGACGGGUGAGUAACAUGUAGGUAUCUACCCUUUGGUGAGGAAUAACACGAGGAAACUUGUGCUAAUACCUCAUAAGUCUUUACGGAGAAAGCUUUAUGCGCCGAAGGAUGAGCCUGCACUUGAUUAGUUUGUUGGUGGGGUAAUGGCCUACCAAGACUUUGAUCUAUAGCUGAUCUGAGAGGAUGAUCAGCCACAUUGGGACUGAGACACGGCCCAAACUCCUACGGGAGGCAGCAGUAGGGAAUAUUGCACAAUGGAGGAAACUCUGAUGCAGCGAUGCCGCGUGAGUGAAGAAGGCCUUUGGGUUGUAAAGCUCUUUCGUCGGGGAAGAAAAUGACUGUACCCGAAUAAGAAGGUCCGGCUAACUUCGUGCCAGCCGCCGCGGUAAUAC
rnacentral:rRNA from 1 species